AAAUUUCGAGCCUCAAAUACAAAAGCCAGCGGGGUAACUUAAAAACUUAACCAAACCAUCUACUAUCCUCAAUUCAAAUCCAUCUUCUCACUCAUCACGAAUCAAUCCUGACUUCUGGAAACUGAAUCACAAUAAACUAUAAUGAGUACAAAACCCAGUAAGCAAACUAGUUUUUCUUAUAUGGAAAAUACAUACAUACUUAUACAUAAUGCAAUGGUUGAUAUGCCAUGAUCUUUUGGGAAUACUGUAAAAUAAAAUCAUAAAAAUCUCUUUCUAUUGCUUUCAAACUUUCUCAUUUUCUUUCGAUGAAAUACAUAUCCUGCAAUGUGGCACUUUGUGCUGUGCGUGGCACUUUGCGGCGCUCUGGCCCUCAAGAGGUGGCCCCCGCAUAGUCCCAAGAGAUGGCCCCCACACAACUUCAAGAGGUGGCCCCCAAUGCAAAAUCUCAAAAAACAGAAAUUCCGUUUGCUAAAAUCCACUUUCUCAUUCAUAGAAAACUCAAUGCAUUUUUGUGCUCAUGCCAAUGAACUAUCACACAUACAUAUGCCCAUGUACAUAAUCACGCUCAACACAUGCCAACACAUCACAUAAACACAUGGGUAGAGACAUCUAAAUCCAUAUCCGUGUAUAUAUCAAAAUAGGUUUUUCACACAAGUCAAACAUAUAUAUUGUUUAGUGUGAUUCGUUUUAAAGUCUAGUUUACUUACCUCUUGGCAUCCUCAUGUAACAAAUGCGUACUGAUACCAUCAACCUAAAAUCAUCAAUAACGCCUCAUAAGAUAUAAUCAAAUCUCAAUCAUAAACUCUAAUAUCCUCAAAUAUCUCAAUUUAAACAACUCGUAAGCUCAACCUCAAAUGUCCUCAAUAAUCGGCCCUCAAAACAUAACAGUCCAUACUUCUCCGAUUUUUAAUAAAUUAUUCUCUUAUUGGAAGAAUCUCAAAUUUUACAGACCAUAUGCUGACACAUUGAAAGUUCAUUGAUAAAAAUUUCAUAACAUAAUUCCUUCAAAAACUAUUGAAAAUAAUUCACGUUUCAGACAUCAUCAAUACUGUCAAACAGUUUUCUGUUUUGAACACACUUGCUUUACAAAUACAAAAAAAAUUUAUUACUUUAUCAUAAAAUCAUGAAAAUUUCCAGAAUCAUACUAGACAUAUAUAAAAAUCAUUGGUCCAAAUUUCAUAAUUUUUGAAGAAGUCUAACCAUGGUAAAAAUAAUUUCGUAAUUCACGUUAUUCACUGAAAUCAUAAAUUUCCAGGUUUUCAGACUUGAAUUUGAAAAAUCAUAAUUAAUUGAAAUCUUAUCCGAUUAACUUGAAACAAGUUUCAAAACAUUCUAGACGAUGUCUAGUUUAACAUACCCAAAAAUCAGAAUCAAAAUCAAUUUUUACACAUUACUAUGUUUUCCGUAAUAAUUCACUGUCAGCAUAUUUCUACAAAAUCUUAGAUUUCUACUUCUAUUGCAAUCGUGCUUCUCCACAACAAUUUAAUAGAAACCAAUAAUUAAAACUUACCUCCAAAACUUCUCCUAACAAUAACAACUUGAUCCCAUGUGUUGACUAUGGCA
rnacentral:lncRNA from 1 species